rnacentral:tRNA from 1 species
GCCUGGGUGGCGGAACUGGUAGACGCAGUGGACUCAAAAUCCACCGCCCGUGAGGGCGUGCCGGUUCGAUUCCGGCUUCAGGCACCA